UACGGAGGGUGCAAGCGUUAAUCGGUAUUACUGGGCUUAAAGCGCGCGUAGGUGGCUUGAUAAGCCGGUUGUGAAAGCCCCGGGCUCAACCUGGGAACGGCAUCCGGAACUGUCAAGCUAGAGUGCAGGAGAGGAAGGUAGAAUGCGCGGUGUAGCGGUGAAAUGCGUAGAGAUCGGGAGGAAUACCAGUGGCGAAGGCGGCCUUCUGGACUGACACUGACACUGAGGUGCGAAAGCGUGGGUAGCGAACAGA
rnacentral:misc_RNA from 1 species